GCCCUGAUUGCAGUGAACUUCUGCCUGCCCCACUUGUGAAAAAUGCCCAGUGGUAAAGAGGGAAGCUGAAGGGGAGUGAGGUGAUAAAAUCUGGUCAGUUGCUCAUGUCUGACACCUUGCAUUUGAGCAUUGGGACGCAAGGAGCGUGCGAUCUGAUGCUUUGUGAGCGAUGAGACCAUGGUUAUUGCAGCCGUUGGUCAGCAGAGCAAGUGAGUGGUUAAUGACAAGAUUAAAAUGCAUCUUGCUGAGAGUUCAGGUGACUUUGCAAGAUUGUUCAAGAGCACCAUGUUCUGCUACCUUCAUUCAAAGGUUUUUUGAUCUCUUUCAUGGGAUACAGGAAAGGACUUUGAAUUCAGUGGAACUUGAGUUUGCUUGCUUGGGAUGUGCUCACUGAAUGCAGCAGGAAGUGCAAACCAACAGUAGCUAGAAUAAGAGAUAGAAUCAACCAAAGUCAUUUAGAAGUUUGUUUGGGCUUGAAUGUGUUUGAACAAAACCUGUUAUACUGCAGAGAUAUGGAGAAGCCCUGAGCAUACUUUGGGGGUCCAUUAGCAAACACAUAGAAAGUCUUUGCCCUGAAGAUCUUGCCCGCUGAGCAAUUCCUACAGGCAACAGGAAGAAAAAAGCAAACCAAGGUUGAAACAUCUUGCAUGAUUCUUAGUACAUCUUGGUACAGUAGCCCAGCUCUUCUGAACUGCUGCCUAGGGAGAAGACUUCUCUCUGUGCCCUGACUUCUCUGUAGCUCAGGUUUUAGUGUCCUAUUUCUUCAGCUGCUCCUACAAAUGGAGUCCAAAGCAAGAGAUACAGCAUGAAGGAAUGUACAUGUGGCAGUCUGGAAGGGCCUCUGCAAAAGUAAACCAAAAAAAAAUGUUCACCUUGGACAGUCUGAGUCUGUAAGUCAUCAGGAAUAAUGGGCACAAAUUCUGUUCCCAACGUCUUUUCUCCAGCCUUGGUUUUAAGAUUUUUCAUGUUUUCCCUUUGUUUCCAUCCCAUAGCACAACACCUGAUAUAUAGCUACCCCCUAGUUUCCAUUAAGAGUUUCUAUCCAGAAACAAAUCUGAUCUGUUUAUGUUCAGCUGGACAAAUUUGGUCUGAUUUGACUGGUUUGCAUGUGCAGAUUUUCCAGCUUCCUACAAGCUGGCGUUUUAGGUUUUGCUUAGUCUUUAUCUAUCAUUCUUUUCAAUUGUAGGUGGCUCACUCUUUCUUUUUGAUUCUGGAUGAAGGCUUAGUUAAAUGCCUAUUUAAGAACUUGUGAGUAAUUUAGAGGAUUUAGGGGAACAUUGUGUGCUAUUAUAUGCAAAUAUGUACCAUGCAUGGCUCCCUAUGUCAUUAACCUGGCAGUCAUUUCAUGCAUGACUCCCCAUCUUAUUAAGCUAGCAGUAUGGAAUAUUUGAUUUACUAACCUGCUAUGAACUGCUUAGUGUGCUACUAUAGGAAUAUAACUUUUAAGUUUCCCUGGAAUAACUAUCUUUGAAAUAGAUUCUGGAAAACAAUAUCAUUAUUUUGGCAGCUGUGCACACUUUCUAAGGUCAAUUUUAGUAAGCUUCAUAGAAUUGUUGGAGAAGUACCUGUGA